GCUCCAGUGGCGCAAUUGGUCAGCGCGCGGUACUUAUAAUGCCGAGGUUGUGAGUUCAAGCCUCACCUGGAGCA